UACGAAGGGGGCUAGCGUUGCUCGGAAUCACUGGGCGUAAAGGGUGCGUAGGCGGGGCUUUAAGGCAGGGGUGAAAUCCUGGAGCUCAACUCCAGAACUGCCUUUGAUACUGAGGAUCUUGAGUUCGGGAGAGGUGAGUGGAACUGCGAGUGUAGAGGUGAAAUUCGUAGAUAUUCGCAAGAACACCAGUGGCGAAGGCGACUCACUGGACACGUAUUGACGCUGAGGUGCGAAAGCGUGGGGAGCAAACAGG
rnacentral:rRNA from 1 species